rnacentral:rRNA from 1 species
UACAGAGGUCUCAAGCGUUGUUCGGAUUCAUUGGGCGUAAAGGGUGCGUAGGCGGCGCGGUAAGUCGGGUGUGAAAUCUCGGAGCUUAACUCCGAAACUGCAUUCGAUACUGCCGUGCUUGAGGACUGGAGAGGAGACUGGAAUUUACGGUGUAGCGGUGAAAAUGCGUAGAUAUCGGGAGGAACACCAGUGGCGAAGGCGGCUUCUUGGCCUGUUCUUGACGCUGAGGCGCGAAAAGCUAGGG